GUAGGGGGCGAGCGUUGUCCGGAUUUACUGGGCGUAAAGCGCGCGCAGGCGGCCCGUUAAGUCGGAUGUGAAAACCUGGGGCUCAACCCCAGGCCUGCACCCGAUACUGGCGGGCUCGAGGCAGGUAGGGGAGAGUGGAAUUCCCGGUGUAGCGGUGAAAUGCGCAGAUAUCGGGAGGAACACCGGUGGCGAAGGCGGCUCUCUGGGCCUGUCCUGACGCUCAUGCGCGAAAGCUAGGGGAGCAAACAGGAUUAGAUACCCUGGUAGUCCUAGCCGUAAACGUUGGGUGCUAGGUGUGGGGCGGGGAUCGACCCGUUCUGUGCCGAAGCUAACGCAUUAAGCACCCCGCCUGGGGAGUACGGCCGCAAGGCUA
rnacentral:rRNA from 1 species